rnacentral:ncRNA from 1 species
GUAAUUGAUUCUGCCAGCACUGAUAUGUUUAUCUCUAAGAUUAAACUAUGCUGCCAUGAAUUAAGCCAGUACAUGAUAUAUUAAGCCGAAACUGUAAAUGGCUCAUUAAAUCAGUUAUGGUUCCUUGAAUCACACCUUAUUACUUGGAUAACUGUGGCAACCAUCUAGGAAUGAGCACUUUUAUUAGACCAAAAUCAAUCGGAUCUUAUAUCCAUAUUAUGUGGUGACGUUGUAUAACUUUGUGCUGAUUGCACAAGCUCAUAGCAGCCACAUGUCUUUCAAGUGUCUGCCUCAUCAACUGCAAUAGUAGAUUAUGCGCCUACCAUGGUCGUAACAGGUCAUGGAGAAUUAAGGUUCGAUUCCAAUGAGGGAGCCAGAGAAACAGCUACCACAUCCAAGGAAGGCAACAGGUGCACAAAUUACCCACUCUAAGAAUGUGGAGGUAGUGCCAAAAAAUAACAAUAGAGGACUCUUUUGAGACCCAGUAUUUGGAAUGAAUACACUUUAAAUCGUUUAACGAGGAUCGACUGGAAGGCAAUUCUGGAAGCCAUGUAGC